rnacentral:rRNA from 1 species
UGGGGAAUAUUGGACAAUGGGGGAAACCCUGAUCCAGCAAUGCCGCGUGUGUGAAGAAGGCCUUAGGGUUGUAAAACACUUUCACAGGUGACGAUGAUGACGGUAACCUGAGAAGAAGCCCCGGCUAACUCCGUGCCAGCAGCCGCGGUAAUACGGAGGGGGCGAGCGUUGUUCGGAAUUACUGGGCGUAAAGGGCGUGUAGGCGGUUUGUUAAGUUAGGCGUGAAAGCCCCGGGCUCAACCUGGGAACUGCGCUUAAUACUGGCAGACUUGAGACCGGGAGAGGGUAGUGGAAUUUCCAGUGUAGAGGUGAAAUUCGUAGAUAUUGGAAAGAACACCAGUGGCGAAGGCGGCUACCUGGCCCGGAUCUGACGCUGAGGCGCGAAAGCGUGGGGAGCAAACAGG